rnacentral:rRNA from 1 species
GACGAACCGUGCAAACGUUAUUCGGAAUCACUGGGCAUAAAGGGCGCGUAGGCGGCUUUCUAAGUCAGGGGUGAAAUCCGGCAGCUCAACUGUCGCAGUGCCUUUGAUACUGGAGAGCUCGAGGGAGGUAGGGGCAUGUGGAACUUCCGGUGGAGCGGUGAAAUGCGUUGAUAUCGGAAGGAACUCCGGUGGCGAAAGCGACGUGCUGGACCUCUUCUGACGCUGAGGCGCGAAAGCUAGGGGAGCGAACGGG